rnacentral:rRNA from 1 species
AUUGAACGCUGGCGGCAUGCCUAACACAUGCAAGUCGAGCGAAGCGGGGACGGGUGAGUAACACGUGGAUACCCUCCUAUAAGACUGGGAUAACUUCGUGAAACCGGAGCUAAACCGGAUACUUAUGGAUUGAUCCGCGCUGCAUUAUCUAGUUGGUAAGGUAACGGCUUACCAAGGCAACGAUGCAUAGCCGACCGGAGAGGUGGACGGGCCAAACGGGAACUGAGACAGGGUCCAGACUCUGACGGGAGGGAGAAGGAGGGAAUCUUCCGAAAGGGGGGAAAGCCGGACGGAGCAAGGCGGGGUGAGUGUGGAAGGUUUUGGGAUCGUAAACCUCGGUUAUCAGGGAGGCGGUACCUAAACAGAAAGCCACGGCUAACUACGUGCCAGCAGCCGCGGUAAUUC